UCGCACACUUCAACAUAUAUAUUAGGAGUGAUGUAAUACAUCUUUAUUUCCAUAAUAUAGAUAAAACUUUUCACUACAUAGACGUCUUCUCUAAUUAGAAAUUGAGUAGUGGGUUAUAUGGAUGAGAUCUUCAGGUGUAGCUGGUGGAUGAGUCAUGUUUUUGAUUCUCAACUGCAUAUAUUCUCCGAAGAGGAAUCCUCUGUACUUGGGCGACUCUCCAAUUUCCUUGGUGAACUGUGGUAAUGGCUCAACCCACUUGUCUCCUUGCACGUUAUAGAAGAAAGUGCACGAGUAACGGUUUGCUUCUCUUGGUCUGACCACUCUGUGAGUUGCACUCUUGAAUCUAUUGUUGCUUAGUACCUU